GGAGAGAUGGUAGAGUGGUCGAUUACAACGGUCUUGAAAACCGUCGUACCGAGAGGUACCGGGGGGUUCGAAUCCCUCUCUCUCCG
rnacentral:tRNA from 1 species